rnacentral:piRNA from 1 species
UCCAAAGGCAGAGAUCUGUCUGCUCCAUU